GAGUGUGUGAGGAGUAAGUUGAAAAAUACAUAAAGCGUCUGGAGUGGAAACACGGUCACACGUCCAGGCGCUUUUUGUA
rnacentral:sRNA from 1 species